UGGGGGAUGGAAUAGUUUUUUAGUUUAGGUUUUUAGCAUAGUUUUAGUUUUCUUUUCUUAGCUCUUUCGCAUGGUUGUUCUCCAUUAAUGGAGAACUAACCUCUUAUUUCUAGUCAAGGGACAACUGAAGACUUGGUUCAACAAUUAUUGUGAGAUCGAAUUUAUUUUAAUUGUUUCCUCCAUUUAUUGGUAUUCAUAUGUUUCCUGCUUUUAAUUGUUAUAGCUUUUGUGUAUGAUUGGUUAGUGCGCAAUAAUUAAUUAUUCACAUAGGCUGUUUUGCUAUAUAGGGGUAAUUGAAUCCGUAAUUGUUCGUUAUCUCUAUCCCACUAGCAACUGGCAUAAUUGGAUUUGUGUCAGGGGAAUAUUUGAUCUGGCUUAAAUAAACCCUCGUAGCGUGUUUGUUAGUUAGGAUUGGGCCUUUCUAAUUAUUAAUGCAACCUAGAAAUUGAAUCCUACGGUCGUACCUAGGGUUGUUUUUGGGUUAGAGAAAUAGCUAACGGUCGUACCUUAGCUAUCGAUAAAUUAAGGAAGGGUUGGUUGUUUAGCGCGUGCGAGACAACUAGAACCAAUCUAUUAGUAAAGGUUGGAAUUAUUUUUGCAUCGAUGAUCAGUGCAUGAACCAUUUCUGAAGUGUACCCUUGGCUAGAGUUUCUCUUAAUUAUUUCUUUUAUUUAUUUUCUGCAUUUAAUUUAUUUAGUUAGCAUUUAAUCCAAAAAUCCCCCCAUACUUUGAACUCUAGAAGAAACGAAUUAUCCCCAGUCCCUGUGGAUUCGACCCUACUCACCGCUAUAUACAAAAUCUGUAUUUUUCUCGAGUAGGUAUUUAUUAUUGUACAGGUUCGGCACCUGUCAAUUUUUGGCGCCGUUGCCGGGGACUGGUGCCAGAUUAAUUUGUUUCUUUUCGAGUUCACCUUGUUUUUAUUUCUUAUUUUUUUUAUUUAUUUUUCUCUUAUUUUUUUUUAUUAUAGUUUAUGGCUUCUAACACUCCGUAUUUUGGUGAUAGACUGGAUUUUGUUUCCGGGGAAGGCGAUGAGACUAGUUUUUUUGCUAAGUUUGCAUAUUCAGAGGCAGUAAACUCUAUUAGAGAAAGAAUGGCUGCUGCAACCUGUGAAAUUUGUUAUGCCAGAGAUCAUUCGACCGGUAUGUGCCCCGAAUAUCAGGAUAAUCUGAGUGUCCCACUCAAUAAUUAUGGAGAUUUUUCACCAUGGUCUCAAACGUGGUAUAACCCUAAUCCAAACGGGUAUGAUCAAGGAUGGUGGGAUAACUCCAGUUAUAAUUAUACAACAGGGCCACUAGAUUUUCAACAGCUAGAGUCUCAAGAACCGUCAUCCAUGUCAGAUAUGUCUCUUGAAGAAAUAGUUGAAUCACUAGCUACUAACACAUAUCUAAUUCAACAGGAGACAUAUCAAAUUCAACAGGAGGUACAUCAACUUCAACAGGAGACAUAAAAGAUGAGUGAAGAGAUGAAAGAAGGAAGGCGUGAAUGGGCAUCUAAAAUAAGCAAAUUGAUUUCUCCAGUUUAUGAAGAAUUGCCCUCACCGACUAUUAUCGACCAUGAGCAAGAUGAGAGUGCAAUUAUUCUGACAAAUGACAUGGUACUGCAAGGGUCUCAAGAAGAAGAAUCUAAAGAUGCAGAUGAAAAGAAAGUUGAAGCACAAGAAUUGAGACCCCAACAUCAAAUGGUUCAAGUGAAUGAAUCCAGUGAACAAUCUCCAAAUGCGGUGACAUCUCCUCCAUUCCUUAAUGAAUAUUUUCCUGACUCUUAUUUUUUAAUUCCUGUUAGUGAGAUUGAUUUUAUUAUACCAGAAAAUUUUGAGUUUCAUGACAGGAACAAUUUAAGAGUCACGAUGGCAAAAUAUCUCAAACCAGCAAGUGCUUGUGAUGGAGGAGUGAAUGAAGAUUUAAGAUCAUCACUUGUUUGUUUGGUGCCAUUUACUAGUCCAUGGAAGCCCGUAGCUCGUGUGCCCAAGAAUUACUCUAUUUACGAGGGCUAUCAGGAUUACAUAGAAGAUGAAGCACUGAAACGAGCCACAAGAUUUUAUCCUCCAUGAAUACACAUGAAAAUGUCUAGCCAAAGACAUUAAAGAAGGGCGCUACUUGGGAGGCAACCCAAGACUAUUUGUUUUAGUUUUCGUGCAUUUUUUAAGUUUUAGUUAAGUGUUAGUGUCAAUUAAUGGUUUGAUGUUUGGUGGCAGGGAAUUAGCGGUUAGGCGUGCCCACGCCAGGUGGUCAUGCCUGAAGAAAAGGAAUUUUCGCUCAGGUUCUGCGAACUCCAUAGUAGUUAGACGUGCCCACGCCAGAUGGUCACGCCUGACGGAGGAAAUUUUCGAUCAGGUUCUGCGGGCUCUAUGGCAGUUAGGCGUGCUCACGCCUAGGCCAGAGGCUCCUUAUUCUAAAAAAAAAAAAAAGAGAAAAAAUUUUUUUUUUUUUUUUUACAAAAGCAAUUUCAAUUUUUGGAGAAUUUCGGUAAGACUAGUUAAAAAAAAAAAACAUUUUAUUUUCUUUUUCUUCUUUUCUUCUUUCUUUUCUUUUCUUUCUUUCUUUCUUCUUUUUCUUUCUUUCUUCUUCCCCGCUGCUUUCCCUUUCCCCCUGUCCUUUUCUACUUCAGCCGCAGCCUCCAUGCUCCAUGCCAUUAGAUCGCACGCCAUCAGCUCGCGGCCAAGCCGCGUCUCUCCUCCACUCUCACCUUCCAGGAGCGCCGCCCCCUCAGCUUAGCUCGCCGCACCCCACCCACGGCCUGCUCCAUCACCGUGCGCCUCCUCCAGCUUCGUCCGCCGCACGCCGCGGCUCCCUUCCCCAUCACGCGCAGCUCCUCCUGAGCUCGCGCGCCUCCACCGCCACCAGGAGCUCGCUGCGCCUCUCUUCACUGACCAGCUGCGCCUCACCACCAGCUCUUCAGCCCUUCACCUGCGCGAGAAGCCGCCGCCUCGGCUCGCCACUCCGCCGCUGCCAUCGCGACAGCCCACGAGCCCCGCCGAUUUCUCCCUCUCUCUGCCGCACGUCACCUCAACCCCAGCUCAUCCGCCUCACGUGCACCUCCUCCGUCGCGCCCCAGCUUCAACCCGCGCCGCCCUCCAGCCAGCUCCACCUCUGCACCUCCAAGCUCCACCGCCAGUCCACACAGCGCAAGCCACCUGUCAAAUUUCUUUGACAGGUGGAGGUAUUGAAUUCUUCCCCAAAUUAGUUUCACUCUCUGAAAGUUGUGGUUGAAUUUCUUGAUGAAUAGACGAAGGUGAUAAUUUGGGCAUUUUCUAGGGUAAAUUUUGAACAGAGUUGGGUUUAAUUGCUGACAUAGUGGGGAUAUUUUCUGCUAUUAUUUGAAUUUUUGGCCGGUUGAUUAAUUUUUCCCUGUGACUCACCAGUGGUACUGGUUGAUUAAUUUUAAAGUUUAAGUUCUUGCGGUUGUGUUACUGCCAUUGAAUUUAAUUCUUUCCUGUCUGUGCACCAGUGGUACUGGUUGCAGUGUUGCUUUCCAGUUCUUAAUCCUCUGUGCUGGACUGCCUAUUCGAUUCUUGAGUUUUGGUGCCUGAACUGUCUCUCGAUUCUUACCAUUAGUUGCUGGAAUUGCUGGUUUCUUGGGUCAUUUGCUAAUUUUGGUGGGUUUAACUGGGGACAGUUGUUGAGAUUUUGGGUGGGUUUGUGUCCAAUUGCUGAAAUUUGUUGCGUUGUUUAGUCACUCGCACUGCUCCUAGUUGGUUCGAGUAAAACUGGUUGGACGUCCCUAGCCCGUGGAGUUUAACUGUUACAUUGUUUGGGGUGAUUUUCUGGUAUUGAUCGAAUUGUUGGGCAUUAUUUGGGGGUUUUGGCUGCUUGAGACCUCUAUUGCACCUUUAGUUGAGUAAUUUUCUGGAUUGGUUUGUUGAAUUAGUAUUGCCAUUGGUUGACUCUAAGUACCUUGUUUGGGGAGUAUUCAGUUUUGUGAUUUCAAUUGCUAAGCUCAUUGGAGCACUUGCCGAGAUUUUGAGUUGCAUGAUUUCUGCAUUGACUAAUAUUCGGACCACCAUUGCUUAUUGUUUGUAAUAGCUGCUUUGUUGAGAUUUUCGCCUAGUCCUUAGGUGCCUGAAGUUUCCAUUUUCUUGAUUGGGGUGGCCGUUUAUGUUGCUUCAUUAUCUGAGGGAUGCACCAGUGGUACUGGUUGGGGUAUUAUAACUACAUUUGUUGCCACUUGGUUCUAGUUGGUGGGCUACUUGAUCGAAAACUGCCAAACAUUUUGAUUUAGUUGUAGUCCAAAAUUUGAACUACUAUUGCUGGUUUUGACGGUUUCUUGGCUCAUUUGCUAAUUUCGGUUGGUUGAGUUGUGUAAUUUCUUAUCCAAUUGGAGCCAUUUGGACAGAUUUUGGGUGGACAAGUUUUGUCGCUCUCUGUUGAUCUUUGGGAGGCAUUUCUGACCGUAUUCUACGUAUUCAAAUUGGUUGAAUUCACUGCUUUGUCGAGGUUAUUUUUGGUAUCACUUGAGUUCUACUUUGUUGAUUUCUGUCUUGCGUCCCUUGAAGUGCCUUUGGUUGGGUAUUUUCUUCAUUUGUUUGAUUGAAUUGGAAGGCUACUGUGCCACUUCCAUUGCUUAUUGCUGUUGGUGGCGUCUAAUUGACUUGCUGGGAGUAUUUUACCUAUUGAUUUCAAUUGCUAAAUCUUUAGAGCAUUUGUUGCGAGUUUGGACUACAUUGUUCCUGCAUUUGACCCAACUGGGGCCACCAGUGAGUAUUGAUUGAAAUUGCUGUAUUGUUGGGACUACAUUGAAAAGGUGCCUGGGUUGUGCAUUUUGUUGAUUGGGUUGUCUACGAGGGAGGCACCACUGGCUAUUAAAUUGUUAUUGUUUUGAAUUUGCUAAGUGGCCUCUCCCACCGAUGGCCGCUGAUGCCCAGUGGAUGAGCGAGUAAUGCAUAUCGCCAACCAGGUGGCUCCAAUCCCUAAGAACCUGGCCGCGUAUUUCCACCUAAACCGCCCCUAUUUUGAUGACUUCAGGGAAGUACCGUUGCCCCUCUCCUUCCUUCUGCUUUUACAUUAUCACAUUGAGGGCAAUGUGUCAUUUAGGUGUGGGGGGGAGAUCAGUUGGGAUGCUAGUAUUUUUUUUGUUUGUAGUUUCUAGGGGCUUGUCCUUUAUUUUUAGUUAGUUUUUGCCUAUCUUUCAUUUAUUUUAUUUUCUUUUUCUUUCUAGUGGUCAGUUCUUAUUUGAAUACCAAGUUUGAUGUUGGAUUGUUGUUUCUAAUUCUGCUAUUGCCAAGUUUAUUGAUAAAAAGGUAUUGAGUUAAGGUGGUUGAGUUCAGGAACAUCUUUUUGGUGAAUAUCAAUAAUUACUUGACUUUUCUAAUUUUUAGUUAACUUUUCUAGGUAUAGGGAAUGAUUAUUGGCAUUUUUCUUGUGAAUUGGUCCAAUUAUUAAUUCUAGUUCUUCAUGUUUGGAAAUUUGAGGCUGGCUUCUGUUAUUCAUGUGUUGUUUUUAGAUAUUGUGUUAUUUGGUUAUAAAUAAGAGUUGACAGUACUCCGCUAGUAGUUACUACUGAGUAACCGGGGAUUUUCACCUAAAAGUGUUGAUUCUCGCGUCAAAAAGUAGUAAUUGCUAUGAGUACGUGGUCACGUGGCGAUAGAAGCUGAGUAACCGGGCUCCUUCAUCUGGCCAAUGUUGGAGUUCGCGUCAAAAAGCUCAAAUGGCUAGCGACUAAGUCUUUUGCUACAAAAAAAAAAUGAAAAAAAGGGAAGGUUGUGUUAGUGUGUAAUAAAAGUCAGCUUGCCGAAUUAUGGACUUAAUGUUGAGAUUUUGGUUAAUAGUUGGACCAUUUACUGAUAAAUGUGAGCAACCAUUCCUUUUUCUUAGAUUAGUUUGCUUUAAAUUGGAGGAGUUGGUGGUUGAGAAACUAACCGGAGUGGUUUUUCUUGGAUCUUAACUGUGAUGCUUGAUAUAUGUUUUUCUGGGUAUUUUGGCAAUAUGAUAGUUAGAGCAAUAGCCAUAGUCAAAUUUUGGUGUUCAAUUGCUGUUCUUAUGCUUGAGGACAAGCAUGAUUUAGGUGUGGGGGGAAUUGAUAGGGUGUUAAUUGUUGGUUAUUUUAUUGCUAAUUUUCCCCUUUAUCCUUGCCAAAUAUUGUUUUAAUUAUUAAUAUUUAUUUAUAUUUGGUAUUGGACUCAAUUUCAGGGAAUAGAGCAGAAAACUACAAAAAAGGAGGUACUUUUUGGAGAAUAUGGAGACUUCUAAAUACUCCACAGACUUGGCCCACAUUGCUAAGAAGGACCGGAUUUCCAUUGACCUUUUUGCUGACUAGGAGUCCUACCAAGAGUAAACAUGAUACAAGGAAUGGCGCAGGACCUUCUUUGGAGCAUUUGGACUCUCAAUUUUGGUGGGACCAGCGAGAUAAGAAGCCUUAGUCAUUAGGAACGUACAGAGGCUUAAAAUCAAGAAGCAAUUCGGAUGGGCCCCACCUUGUGGAAGAGUUUCCUUCUUGGACUUUAACUCUCAAUUCGUGCGGGGACCACGAAAAAGGCGGAAAGCAUUAGACUUUCUUUUGGCUUUAAAAAGGGAGAAACGUGCAGAAGGUGGGGGAUGGAAUAGUUUUUUAGUUUAGGUUUUUAGCAUAGUUUUAGUUUUCUUUUCUUAGCUCUUUCGCAUGGUUGUUCUCCAUUAAUGGAGAACUAACCUCUUAUUUCUAGUCAAGGGACAACUGAAGACUUGGUUCAACAAUUAUUGUGAGAUCGAAUUUAUUUUAAUUGUUUCCUCCAUUUAUUGGUAUUCAUAUGUUUCCUGCUUUUAAUUGUUAUAGCUUUUGUGUAUGAUUGGUUAGUGCGCAAUAAUUAAUUAUUCACAUAGGCUAUUUUGCUAUAUAGGGGUAAUUGAAUCCGUAAUUGUUCGUUAUCUCUAUCCCAGUAGCAACUGGCAUAAUUGGAUUUGUGUCAGGGGAAUAUUUGAUCUGGCUUAAAU
rnacentral:lncRNA from 1 species